CGCUGCGGGCUGUGCGGAGCUCCUCAUGACUUUGUUCGCGAAGACGGAGUGAUGGGGGGUACGGCGGAGCCCCCCUGAGCUGCAAGUUCAAGUGCGGACGUGACGUCCCUGCCGAACUUGAACGUCAGGAGACGGACGGACACCACUGAGGAUUGACGCACCAAUGAAGUGUGUCGGCACUUUAAAUGAUCGGCCGUGUAGUGGAACGUCUGUCCGGCAGCUCACACAAUGGAAGUCAGCUGUCGCCUGGAGGAAGCCUCCACUGUCUGGCCUGGGCCCCAUGCACCGUCGUGACUGUAUGAUUUACAUAAAAGUCGAAAAUAAUUGAAAUAAAAGGAUUUGUGAUUCUU